rnacentral:rRNA from 1 species
GAGGCAGCAGCAAGGAAUAUUGCGCAAUGGGCGAAAGCCUGACACAGCGACGCCGCGUGGGGGAAGAAGGCCUUCGGGUUGUAAACCCCUUUUCUCAGGGAAGAAUAAUGACGGUACCUGAGGAAUAAGUCUCGGCUAACUACGUGCCAGCAGCCGCGGUAAUACGUAGGAGGCGAGCGUUAUCCGGAUUUACUGGGCGUAAAGAGGGCGUAGGCGGUCUUUCAAGUCGGAUGUGAAAUCUCCCGGCUUAACUGGGAGGGGUCAUUCGAUACUGUUGGGCUAGAGGGCAGCAGAGGGAGGUGGAAUUCCCGGUGUAGUGGUGAAAUGCGUAGAUAUCGGGAGGAACACCAGUGGCGAAGGCGGCCUUCUGGGCUGUUUCUGACGCUGAGGCCCGAAAGCGUGGGGAGCGAACAGGAUUAGAU